AUGUGUGGUCGUAGCAUGGCCGUGCGGCGACGGAGUUGGGAGUACGCCGUGACCAUGGCCAGAGGGGGCGAGAAGGAAAGUGGUGGACGACCAUGGCGCCCACCCAAGGAGCUCGCCGGUGUCGACUCCCGGUUCAUGCUACAAGGAGUCCACCCAAGGAGCUCGCUGCUGACGACCAUGGCGCUCGCUCAAGAAGCUCGCUGCCGAGGCACAAGAUUGGAAAAGAGGAGAGAAAGUAUAGAUGUGUUCUUUUGGGUUGGGAGGGGGAUGAAUGGACGAGAGGAGUCCAUGAGAAGAUAA
rnacentral:rRNA from 1 species